GAAUAGUCGAUGCAGCUAACACAGCAAACAUCAUAGGAGGUUAGAGAAGCCUCCUCUCUUGCACAACCUCAGGGCUUCAGUCAUCCUCCUAGUGAUCAGAUUCCCAAGAAAGUCCACAGAAAAUAAUAUCUUCCCCUUCCUUUGACUCUCUCAUACAGACUGUAGCUAGAAGCCGUUCAGUCUUUGCCCUUUGCUGGCCUAUUUGCUUUCUCCACAGUUUUGCUACCAUAAUUUUCUGUAUAUUUGGUUAACACUUGUGUCAGAAUGAUUAUCUAUAAUGAACACGCCAGUACUUUACUAGGACUUUGAUCCAUCAAUGAUGUAGAAAUAUACGAAGGAGAAAGUAAAGACCUUCCAUAAUCCCCUCCAACCCAAGAAAACCAGUAUUCAGAGUAUUUUCCACUGCAGAUGAACAGCGUACCCAGGGAAAGACGGGCACACAUUGGAUUCAACGAGAUAUGCCAUCAUUGGAGCUGAUCUCCGAGAUAUUCCUGAACUGGAAGAGAAACUAAAGAAAUGUAACAUGAAUACACAGUGAGACUUUUUUAUUAGCCUCUUACAUUUGUGAUUUCCUGCUAAUAUGAAAUAAGGCUGGUUGGAAGUACAGGGUGAUACUCGUACCAUUUUGUUUCCCUGUAAUCUUUAUCAUUGUCAUUGCUAUUAAGCUUAGUUUUCUGAACUUUUUUAGAAGCAAGCUUCCUUGAGUCUGCUUUCCUAUGAGAAUCACCUGUGUUGCUUUUGUAAAAUAUGCCCUAAUAUUAAUACCUAAUGUUAUAGAGUUGGAGGGAAGAUGGUUAUAUGCACAGAAACAUAUAAUUGUGACAUUAAAGAAAGGAUUGGCAUCCUGAAUACAUAAAAAAUAGCUUUUUUUCUUUUUUUUUAAAGCCCCAUAGACAAAUGGGCAAAAGAGAGAUGACAGGCAGCUCAAAGAAGAAACUGGCUAGCAUAUGAAAAUGCUGUUGGACUUCAGCAGUCAUCAGAUGAAAUAUUUUACUCCCACCAAGUUGGCAAAAAUGUAAAAGUCUGACAUAAUAUUAAGGAUUGGCAGGGAUUUAGGGGGAAGGGCAUGGUCACGUACACUGGGUGGAAGUGGCUUUGGCACAGUCCUUGCCAGGAGGAAUCUGGAAUUAUCUAGUAGAAUUGUAACUGUCUGUACCAUGGGAAAUUGCAGGUGACUGUUGGGCAUGUCCCCCCAAAGGUCUGAACGUAUGUACAAGGAGGAUGUUCGUUGCAGCCUCUGCUUUUAGU
rnacentral:lncRNA from 1 species